rnacentral:tRNA from 1 species
GGUGGUGUGGCUGAGUGGUUUAAGAUGCUGGAUUUAGGCUCCAGUCAGUUCAAUGGCUUGGGUUCAAAUCCUACCACUGCCA